AUUGAAGGAACUGGUGUAGUUUUCUGCACUGAAAUUGCACUUUUCUUACAGAAGUGUUGUCAAAACACCGACACCAUGUUCCAUUGAUAGGAACUGCAAUAAAAAAGUGCAAUUCCAGUGCAAUUUCAGGGCAGAGAUGUGGCACCGAAAAAAUUGUCGGUGGAGCCAGUGCACUCACCAACACAGACCAACACCAAUCACGCAAACGUCAAAGCAACGUUCAAAAUGGAUGCGUAAACAAAUCGGCUGUCGCAGAAAAGGACAGGAAUAGUAUCCUUCUGCCGGAAUUGCAUUUGAUACUCAAUGGUUUGCGAGCUUUCGACUUCAAUUCUGUCUUGACUAGAGGUAUGCGUUUUAUUGAUUAAUAGUUCAGUGUGAACCAAAAAAAGAGACCAUCGAACAACAGACGAAACCAUUGCCCGUUACCACUAUCAACGGGAAGGAUUGCCAGGUUUGGAAAUAGCUCGGUUCAGGUGGCUUCAGUUCAGUGUUUUCGGCCAAACAAAUGGGGACGGGCGUUGAAGUUGACGAAUCUCGAAGGCGCUUCCAGGAUAGUAGAAGGUUACUUAAACGAAAUGAAACUGUUGGCGAGAUUGCAAAGGAAUGAAAAUGUAGUAGCGCUGUUACACGUAUGAUUUGCCAUGUUCCGGAGUCUAUCCAAAUUUACCUGGUAAUAGAAAAGGGUGAUGGUAAUCUGCACAAACUCCUGCAAAGCUACCGCAAGAAUAUCCCGCUGUACACGCUCAUGCAAAUUUGGUACCAGAUAGUACAGUGUGUGAAUUACAUUCACGAGCACGGUGUCAUCCAUCUGGAUCUCAAACUGGCUAACUUUCUGAUGGUAGAAGGUCGUCUGAAACUGAUUGACUUUGGCAUCACCAGCAACGUCUCCACCAGUAUUACGAAGUUUUCCAAGUGGGCACAUUCAACUACAUCAGUCCGGAUGCUCUGAUUGCUUGACUACGCGUUUGACCGGUUGGGAAAUAAAGAUGCUGUAGUAACUUUACAUAUGUGUAUGUUGGAACGAAAUAUAUUAUGUAUUUACGUA